rnacentral:rRNA from 1 species
GAAUGCUGACAUAAGUAACGAUAAAGCGGGUGAAAAGCCCGCUCGCCGGAAGACCAAGGGUUCCUGUCCAACGUUAAUCGGGGCAGGGUGAGUCGACCCCUAAGGCGAGGCCGAAAGGCGUAGUCGAUGGGAAACAGGUUAAUAUUCCUGUACUUGGUGUUACUGCGAAGGGGGGACGGAGAAGGCUAUGUUGGCCGGGCGACGGUUGUCCCGGUUUAAGCGUGUAGGCUGGUUUUCCAGGCAAAUCCGGAAAAUCAAGGCUGAGGCGUGAUGACGAGGCACUACGGUGCUGAAGCGACAAAUGCCCUGCUUCCAGGAAAAGCCUCUAAGCAUCAGGUAACAUCAAAUCGUACCCCAAACCGACACAGGUGGUCAGGUAGAGAAUACCAAGGCGCUUGAGAGAACUCGGGUGAAGGAACUAGGCAAAAUGGUGCCGUAACUUCGGGAGAAGGCACGCUGAUAUGUAGGUGAAGCGACUUGCUCGUGGAGCUGAAAUCAGUCGAAGAUACCAGCUGGCUGCAACUGUUUAUUAAAAACACAG